rnacentral:lncRNA from 1 species
UGAAAUUUAGUCAAAAGCAAAAUACCCCCUAAUGCAAUUUCGUGUGCCACACUCGCUAUGUAUGCGGCUGAUGAUGGAUUUUUAGAUCUGAAAUUACAUAAUUGCCCCUCAAAAUACAUUAAUAUGUGAUUUCAUGAAUUUUUCAUAUAUGUUUCCCACAAAACCCUAAUUUUCAUUUUCUCACCUUCAAUUCCAACCUCAACAUCUCGUUCAGCCACCUCCCAGACUCCAACCACUGCAGCAAAUCCUCCAUCAGGGGUUGCUCUGCUAUGUUGCUCUCCAAUAGCCGCUGCGACCGCACAAGGGCCCGGUGAUCGGAGAAGCUUCAGGAGAUUGAGGAAUGUCGGAAGCAACUAAUCUUCUACGGCGGCGCCGGCACGAAUUGAAGCUCUGCGAAGCCCUACAACCCCGAUUACAAGAUGGCGUUCGGGCCUUUCUCCACCACAUCUCAAAUCUUCGUUGUUGUUUGACGGAUUUUGUAGAAUUGUAUUGGGGGUUUUGCUAGUUUUUGCAGGAGCAAAACGAGUAGCUCAAAUCUUUCCCCUGUUUUUUCUAUAAAUUUCUUUUUAGAUCUGGACGAUAAGAAAGAUUGGGUUUUUUUUUUUUUUUUGAUUUAAUUUUUUACUGUGAAGAUGAUAGUGGUGUUGGUAGAGAUGGCAACGGGAUUCAAUUCGUUGAAGACG